AGCUAUGGAGUUGUGGAGGAGAAUUGUAACCCGUACAAAGGUUUAGACGGAUCCUGUUCAACACGUAAUUGUAUAAGGCACUAUACAGCGUCCUACUCCUAUGUCGGAAGAACUGCGGAGGUUUAAUAAAUGUAUAAUUAAAGCAAUAUACAGUCUCCUACUCCUAUGUUGGAGUAUACUACGGAGGUUCAUUAAAUGUAUAGUUAAGACAUUAUACAGCCUCCUACUCCUCUGUAGGAGAAUACUGCGGAGGUUUAAUGAAUAUCUGAUUAAGGUACUAUACAGCCUCCACUCCUAUGUCGGAGACUACUCAUGAGGUUAAUUGAAUUAAAGCAAUAUACAGCCUCCUACUCCUAUGUCGGAAGAACUGCGGAGGUUUAAUAAAUGUAAAAUUAAAGCAAUAUACAGCCUCCUACUCCUAUGUAGGAGAAUACUUCGCAGGUUUAAUGAAUAUCUGAUUAAGGUACUAUACAGCCUCCACUCCUAUGUCGGAGGCUACUCAUGAAGUUAAUUGAAUGUCUG